rnacentral:rRNA from 1 species
AACCGUGUACGUACAAGCAGUGGGAGCACCCUUUGGGUGUGACUGCGUACCUUUUGUAUAAUGGGUCAGCGACUUAUAUUCUGUAGCAAGGUUAACCGAAUAGGGGAGCCGGAGGGAAACCGAGUCUUAAUUGGGCGUUAAGUUGCAGGGUAUAGACCCGAAACCCGGUGAUCUAGCCAUGGGCAGGUUGAAGGUUGGGUAACACUAACUGGAGGACCGAACCGACUAAUGUUGAAAAAUUAGCGGAUGACCUGUGGCUGGGGGUGAAAGGCCAAUCAAACCGGGAGAUAGCUGGUUCUCCCCGAAAGCUAUUUAGGUAGCGCCUCGUGAAUUCAUCUCCGGGGGUAGAGCACUGUUUCGGCUAGGGGGCCAUCCCGGCUUACCAACCCGAUGCAAACUGCGAAUACCGGAGAAUGUUAUCACGGGAGACACACGGCGGGUGCUAACGUCCGUCGUGAAGAGGGAAACAACCCAGACCGCCAGCUAAGGUCCCAAAGUCAUGGUUAAGUGGGAAACGAUGUGGGAAGGCCCAGACAGCCAGGAUGUUGGCUUAGAAGCAGCCAUCAUUUAAAGAAAGCGUAAUAGCUCACUGGUCGAGUCGGCCUGCGCGGAAGAUGUAACGGGGCUAAACCAUGCACCGAAGCUGCGGCAGCGACACUGUGUGUUGUUGGGUAGGGGAGCGUUCUGUAAGCCUGUGAAGGUGUGUCGUGAGGCAUGCUGGAGGUAUCAGAAGUGCGAAUGCUGACAUAAGUAACGAUAAAGCGGGUGAAAAGCCCGCUCGCCGGAAGACCAAGGGUUCCUGUCCAACGUUAAUCGGGGCAGGGUGAGUCGACCCCUAAGGCGAGGCCGAAAGGCGUAGUCGAUGGGAAACGGGUUAAUAUUCCCGUACUUGGUGUUACUGCGAAGGGGGGACGGAGAAGGCUAUGUUGGCCGGGCGACGGUUGUCCCGGUUUAAGCGUGUAGGUGUGUGUUCCAGGUAAAUCCGGUUCACUUUAACACUGAGGCGUGACGACGAGGCACUACGGUGCUGAAGCAACAAAUGCCCUGCUUCCAGGAAAAGCCUCUAAGCAUCAGGUAACAUCAAAUCGUACCCCAAACCGACACAGGUGGUCAGGUAGAGAAUACCAAGGCGCUUGAGAGAACUCGGGUGAAGGAACUAGGCAAAAUGGUGCCGUAACUUCGGGAGAAGGCACGCUGACACGUAGGUGAAGUGAUUUACUCAUGGAGCUGAAGUCAGUCGAAGAUACCAGCUGGCUGCAACUGUUUAUUAAAAACACAGCACUGUGCAAACACGAAAGUGGACGUAUACGGUGUGACGCCUGCCCGGUGCCGGAAGGUUAAUUGAUGGGGUCAGCGCAAGCGAAGCUCCUGAUCGAAGCCCCGGUAAACGGCGGCCGUAACUAUAACGGUCCUAAGGUAGCGAAAUUCCUUGUCGGGUAAGUUCCGACCUGCACGAAUGGCGUAAUGAUGGCCAGGCUGUCUCCACCCGAGACUCAGUGAAAUUGAACUCGCUGUGAAGAUGCAGUGUACCCGCGGCAAGACGGAAAGACCCCGUGAACCUUUACUAUAGCUUGACACUGAACAUUGAGCCUUGAUGUGUAGGAUAGGUGGGAGGCUUUGAAGUGUGGACGCCAGUCUGCAUGGAGCCGACCUUGAAAUACCACCCUUUAAUGUUUGAUGUUCUAACGUGGACCCGUUACCCGGGUUGCGGACAGUGUCUGGUGGGUAGUUUGACUGGGGCGGUCUCCUCCUAAAGAGUAACGGAGGAGCACGAAGGUUGGCUAAUCCUGGUCGGACAUCAGGAGGUUAGUGCAAUGGCAUAAGCCAGCUUGACUGCGAGCGUGACGGCGCGAGCAGGUGCGAAAGCAGGUCAUAGUGAUCCGGUGGUUCUGAAUGGAAGGGCCAUCGCUCAACGGAUAAAAGGUACUCCGGGGAUAACAGGCUGAUACCGCCCAAGAGUUCAUAUCGACGGCGGUGUUUGGCACCUCGAUGUCGGCUCAUCACAUCCUGGGGCUGAAGUAGGUCCCAAGGGUAUGGCUGUUCGCCAUUUAAAGUGGUACGCGAGCUGGGUUUAGAACGUCGUGAGACAGUUCGGUCCCUAUCUGCCGUGGGCGCUGGAGAACUGAGGGGGGCUGCUCCUAGUACGAGAGGACCGGAGUGGACGCAUCACUGGUGUUCGGGUUGUCAUGCCAAUGGCACUGCCCGGUAGCUAAAUGCGGAAGAGAUAAGUGCUGAAAGCAUCUAAGCACGAAACUUGCCCCGAG